UCUAUGCCAAUGCAUGCAGCAUGGGCAACAGACAAGAGGAGUGGAAAGCCAUGGCACAGCAGGACAACUGUGACAUAGCUGUCAUCAUGGAAACAUGGUGGGAUGACUCACAAAACAGCAGUGCUGCAAUGGAUGGCCAUAAACUCUUCAGAAAGGACAGGCGAGGAAGAAGACAUGGUGGGGGCAGCCCCCUGUGUUAGGGAGUGUCUGUAUUGACUGGAGCUUAAUGACAGUGGAGAUAAGAAUUGAGUGUUUAUGGGGAAGAAUCAGGGGGAAGGGUAACUAGGCAGAUAUUCUGGCAGGAGUCUGUUCUGACUACUCAGUUAGGAUGAAUCUUUUAUAAGCAGCUGGGAGAAGUCUCACAAUCCCUAAUCCUUGUUCUUAUGGGAAACUUCAAUUUACCAGAUGUCUGCUGACACAGAGUCAAGCAUGUUUUCUGAAGGAAUUAAUGAUAUUUGCUGGAAAUACAAACCAGCAGGGAGGAAACAGUUCAGGAGGUUCCUGGAGUGUGUGGGAGAUAAUUUCCUGUCAGCUGGAAAAGAAGCCAGCUGGGGAAGGUGCCCUGCUGGACCUGCUGCUUGUGAACAGUGAAGGACUGGUGGGUGCUGUGAUGGUUGAAGGCCUCUUAGUGGUCAUCCAAUGAGAUUUUUCCAUUCUCAUAUGGAAUGGGAAUAACAGACCAGACAGUUGCCUUGGACUUCUUGGGGGCAGACUUUAGUCUCUUUAGGAGUCUAGUUGACAGAGUCUUAUCAUGACAGAGGCCAUUUACAAGAAGGUUCAGAAGGAGGAUUUAGGGACCUCCAGGUCUCUUGGGCUGACCUGGAUGCUGGGGAAGGUCACAGAGAGGAUUAUCUUGAGUGCCAUCACAUGGCACAUGCAGGACAACAAGGGGAUCAUACUCAGCCAGCAUGGGUUUAGGAAAGGCAGGUCCUGCUUGACCAACCUGACUUCCUUCUAUGACAAGGUCAAAUCUGCUAUGCUUAGUCCCCUUAUUUUUCAAAUUACAGAAAAAUGAGCAGCAAUAAUCUGUGGAACAAGAAAUGUUGCACUUUGACUGGAGCAAGCUCAGGCUUCCCAGCUGUCCAUGCUGCUCCAAGCCUGGCUGUGCUAUUUCUGCUCUUGUCUUGUGAAGGCCUGGUACCCAUGGCUUGUUCAGAUGCUGUGCUGAACUCACGGCCUCUUCCUGCAAGAUACAGAGGCAGUGUGGCCAGAAGCAGGACAGCAGUUUUGAGGGAAUCUCAUUUUUGCAUAAGUCCAUGCUUCACAGAAAACACUGUGAGAAAAACAGUUAAAAGUACUCUCCUGGCACUUGCAGACAUCAGUGCUCAUUUCAGGCCUGAAAUGAAUUGGCUGCACUUCUGCAAAAGCCAUGGCAGAUGGAUCAUGGCUGUAGAUGAGCCAUACUUACUUACCAUGGCAAUUUUGUGCCAUGAGGCUCUGGAAAAAGUCACCAGAAGCAUCUUCCAUGCUGGCAGCAGCUGGCUGUGGGCAUAAAACUGUGAGAUGUAAAAGCCUGGCUGAGGUGCUCUGUCCCAAAUGUUGUGUCAUAUUCAGUGUUUACUUUCCCUUGAGCACACUAGAGCACAAUUCCCUGAAACCUCUUGAACAAAAGAUAAUUAGAAGGGGUCUUUGUAUAAAGCAGGCUCCCAAUGAAUUCUGCUGUGUAUUCAACAGUCAAGGGGGUAGAUUUCCCUUUCCUUUCCUUGGAAAGUGAGGUGCCAGAAGUUCCCCACUCAGCCUAACCUAAGCAUGCUCACUAUGAUACCCAGACUACCUUUCCUCGGAAUUCUUCCAGACCACAUGAAACUCAGCAAGAAGUCCUCUAUUGCUACAUUUCUGUUGGCUCAGCAUUCUUAAGACCAGAAAGACCAAAUAUGUUUGUCCAGCUGCAGAUGAGCUGUACAGAUGAGUUGCUGUCACAGACUAAAACAGCUCAUGCCUCAAACAUUGAUGUAAAGUCUUAAAUUGUAUAAAGAAAGCCAUUCCUUCCUAAAGGAUGCCUGAGUGGAACUUUGGACUGAAAAGUCAAACUAUUUGAUUACACAAACAGAAACCCAUUAUUCAAUCACCAAACCUAGCAAAAAACAAACAAGGCUGGAGAAAAGUAAUGCAUCUAUAUGAGAACCAGACCCAGCAGCCAUGGUGAGAGUCACCUCUGGCUGAAUUUGGGGUGGGGGAGACCACAGCCCACAGAAAUCAGGUUUACACAGACUCCCCCCCCCCCCCCCCACUCCCUGAAACAAGGUGGGGGGAGGAGGUUUCAGGUGUAAGCUCUGGUCAGAGGCAGUGAUCACCCAUACUCCCUUACACUGA